rnacentral:rRNA from 1 species
GACGAACGCUGGCGGCGUGCUUAACACAUGCAAGUCGAACGGAAAGGCCCUGCUUUUGUGGGGUGCUCGAGUGGCGAACGGGUGAGUAACACGUGAGUAACCUGCCCUUGACUUUGGGAUAACUUCAGGAAACUGGGGCUAAUACCGGAUAGGAGCUCCUGCUGCAUGGUGGGGGUUGGAAAGUUUCGGCGGUUGGGGAUGGACUCGCGGCUUAUCAGCUUGUUGGUGGGGUAGUGGCUUACCAAGGCUUUGACGGGUAGCCGGCCUGAGAGGGUGACCGGCCACAUUGGGACUGAGAUACGGCCCAGACUCCUACGGGAGGCAGCAGUGGGGAAUAUUGCACAAUGGGCGGAAGCCUGAUGCAGCAACGCCGCGUGCGGGAUGACGGCCUUCGGGUUGUAAACCGCUUUCGCCUGUGACGAAGCGUGAGUGACGGUAAUGGGUAAAGAAGCACCGGCUAACUACGUGCCAGCAGCCGCGGUGAUACGUAGGGUGCGAGCGUUGUCCGGAUUUAUUAGGCGUAAAGGGCUCGUAGGUGGUUGAUCGCGUCGGAAGUGUAAUCUUGGGGCUUAACCCUGAGCGUGCUUUCGAUACGGGUUGACUUGAGGAAGGUAGGGGAGAAUGGAAUUCCUGGUGGAGCGGUGGAAUGCGCAGAUAUCAGGAGGAACACCAGUGGCGAAGGCGGUUCUCUGGGCCUUUCCUGACGCUGAGGAGCGAAAGCGUGGGGAGCGAACAGGCUUAGAUACCCUGGUAGUCCACGCUGUAAACGGUGGGUACUAGGUGUGGGGUCCAUUCCACGGGUUCCGUGCCGUAGCUAACGCUUUAAGUACCCCGCCUGGGGAGUACGGCCGCAAGGCUAAAACUCAAAGGAAUUGACGGGGCCCCGCACAAGCGGCGGAGCAUGCGGAUUAAUUCGAUGCAACGCGUAGAACCUUACCUGGGUUUGACAUGGAUCGGGAGCGCUCAGAGAUGGGUGUGCCUCUUUUGGGGUCGGUUCACAGGUGGUGCAUGGCUGUCGUCAGCUCGUGUCGUGAGAUGUUGGGUUAAGUCCCGCAACGAGCGCAACCCUUGUUCACUGUUGCCAGCACGUUAUGGUGGGGACUCAGUGGAGACCGCCGGGGUCAACUCGGAGGAAGGUGGGGAUGACGUCAAGUCAUCAUGCCCCUUAUGUCCAGGGCUUCACGCAUGCUACAAUGGCUGGUACAGAGAGUGGCGAGCCUGUGAGGGUGAGCGAAUCUCGGAAAGCCGGUCUCAGUUCGGAUUGGGGUCUGCAACUCGACCUCAUGAAGUCGGAGUCGCUAGUAAUCGCAGAUCAGCAACGCUGCGGUGAAUACGUUCCCGGG